UAGGGGGGACUUACGGAACUUAAACCGUACCAAUAGCUUGUAAACACGAUUAACUACUACACACGAACAUGAAACAACUCAAUUCAGCAGACUUCAAAGCUAGGCACAUGUCAAUAAUCAGGAUUUACCGCUGCUGCCCAAAGCCCGCCAGCCGAUAACCUCCACCUCUUGCACCCACACCACGACUUAUCGAUGCUGCCUAUGCACGCCAAACGAUACCGUCCAAGAACCUAGAACUUCAUAACCCGACAGGAGGGACCACUACUUGAUCCACGCAACCUUCAGUUACGGAUGUGACGCAAUCAUAAACGUCCACUCACUCCUAGAAAGAAGUUCAACCAAAACACCACCAAAAUGAGGCCUUACUCAUCGCAACCCUCCAG
rnacentral:lncRNA from 1 species